UGGGGAAAUAUUGCACAAUGGGGGAAACCCUGAUGCAGCGACGCCGCGUGAGUGAAGAAGUACUUCGGUAUGUAAAGCUCUAUCAGCAGGGAAGAAAAUGACGGUACCUGAGUAAGAAGCCCCGGCUAACUACGUGCCAGCAGCCGCGGUAAUACGUAGGGGGCAAGCGUUAUCCGGAUUUACUGGGUGUAAAGGGAGCGCAGACGGUUGCGCAAGUCUGAAGUGAAAUCCCGAGGCUUAACCACGGGACUGCUUUGGAAACUGUGCGACUUGAGUAUCGGAGGGGCAGGCGGAAUUCCUAGUGUAGCGGUGAAAUGCGUAGAUAUUAGGAAGAACACCGGUGGCGAAGGCGGCCUGCUGGACGAAAACUGACGUUGAGGCUCGAAGGCGUGGGGAGCAAACAGGAUUAGAUACCCUGGUAGUCCACGCGAUAAACGAUGAAUACUAGGUGUUGGUGCCCCAAGGGCAUCGGUGCCGUCGCAAACGCAAUAAGUAUUCCACCUGGGGAGUACGUUCGCAAGAAUGA
rnacentral:rRNA from 1 species